GGCUGGAACUCAAAAUAAUUAAAUGAUG
rnacentral:piRNA from 1 species